CUAAAAGAAAGAAGACCCCAAGACCCCUGUAUGAAGCUUAGAAGGCAAAGGCCUGUCUUCACAGAGCCAGCUAAAGAGCUAGGCUUUGGCGCCACCACAUCCUGUUUGGAAUCCAAGCUCCACCGUUUAGCAUUUGUGUGACCAGGGGCUUGUUAAGGAAGGCCCCAAGGCUCCCUUCCCUGCGUAUAAAAAGAAGAGAUGGUACCUGCUUUAUAGGAUGCAGUGGUGAGGGUUCAAUGAGAAGAGGCUUGCAAUAGGCUUGGUAUAGUGCCUGGCACAUGGGGAUAUUCAAAUAGUGCUGACUAUUAGAUCAGGAGCAGACAUUGGGGUAGGAGGUAUCAGCCCGGGGAGGAGACGACAAGGAGAGUUAGGGAGGGAAGGACGUGCCAGGGAAGAGACGGUGGGCUCUGCAGAGGAAGGCUUCUUGGUACCUCUCGAAAGCUGCUGUGGGAACACACCUUUACUCUGCUGACAUUUUCAGACAGCCGUGCUGGCAGGGAUCUGGGCACCUGGCAAAGCGAGCUGACCAUCUGGCCGGCUGUUUCUGCAACAAAAAGAGAUGGUGUCAAAGGUUUUGGGAGCUGGGCUCCUUUGACCCACAGUUGGCACCGGAGGCCAAAUAAGUCCUCCUGGAGACCAUCACCUUCUCAUCAGCAAUCUUCCAGCCAGCACACUGCAGCGGCCAGGGAGUGCAGGAUUGUCUCCAGGAAGCCAGUGCCAAGGCCAGAGGCCCAGAGCCUGCACUGAGCAAAUCGCCAGGGAGUAGUGACAGCCCUUCCUUCCUGGUCAGUGCUCUUGUCCCAUGGGGCUACUAUCUCCUCUGGAUCCUAUGAAGACUGCUCCCUGCCACGGCCAUGAUUACGUGUCACACUGCAUGGUUAGAAGGGCAGGUUCUGAGGCCAGGCUGCCUGGGUUCAUGCAUUAGCUGUGUGGCCUUGGGCAAGUUACUUAGCCACAUUUUGCCUCAGUUUUCUGGACUACAAAAUGGAGUUGUGAGAGUUCACCAAGUUCAUGCUUAUAAGGAGAUGGCAGCAGUGCCUGGCAUUUAAAAAGUGCCCCACAGGUGUUAUCUGGGGCUGUUGUCAUCUCUGUGGCCAAUUGUGCAUCGGUUCCAGGUCUUGGGGUCAUGUCUGUGUGCUUGGUGCCCUAGGUGCCCCAAUAUCUAGUCUCUUUUUCUCCCAUUAAAAAAUCAAUCUCACUUCUCUGUCUCCCUAUCUUUCUCCCUUUCAUCUUCCCUUUCUUAGCACAUUAUUUAUUCAACAAACACGGAUGAAGUGCCUGCCCUGUGCCAGGCGCUGGGGAGGGGGAGGAUGGGGGGCUACAGAGAUGGAAUAAACAGUGAGCCCUGCACAGGACCCUCCGAGUGCCCACAGCUAGGCAGAACAGCAGUUAGUCCAUGCUGAUGCAGGAUUCAUCAUCGUCACGGGGGAGCCAGAAUCUGGAGACACCCAGGCCCUGAAGACGGAGCCUGCCCAGCCCCCACCGAAAAGAGAGCUGCUAUUGGCCUCAGCGUCCAGGAAGAGCCGGGUGAUUCAGCGGGAUGGAGAUCCUCCUUCCCAAGACAAGAUGGGGGCAGCAGAGACCUUGAGUUCUUGAGGCCAAGAACAGCCAAGUCUCAGCUUUCUCUGCAGGACCGAGCACAUAGUGGCACUCCGCAAAUGCGUGCUGAGGAAUGGAUUGUCAUUACUGAUGUCAUCAUCCACCCCUGCACAAGUCUUGACACGGAGCAGCCUCCCACCCCUGCUGGAAGCCUGGCUUAAAGUGACCAACCUGCUUUAGUGAAGGGUUGGGGUUUGGAAGGCCCGCUGGAUACAAGGAUCUAGAAUGAGGAGGUCUUUUCCUAUUGAGGACCAAAGCUCUCAACUCUUUUUUCCUAAUAAACUAGGAGAGACCAGUUUGGAAUUGUCUCUAAAUGUACAGGAUGAGUUUGAGUUUAGGGGUAGCGGAGCCUCUUGUUCCCAACUGAAGGCACUCACGAAACCUGAACUGCACCCACUUGGAGGAAAGUGAGACGGGGCUUCCCAGUGAGAACCCAGGGAGAUGCGUCAAAGGCUACAGAGGGAACAAACAAA
rnacentral:lncRNA from 10 species